UACAGAGGUCUCAAGCGUUGUUCGGAUUCAUUGGGCGUAAAGGGUGCGUAGGUGGCGCCGUAAGUCAGGUGUGAAAUUUCGGAGCUUAACUCCGAAACUGCAUUUGAUACUGCGGUGCUUGAGGACUGGAGAGGAGACUGGAAUUUACGGUGUAGCAGUGAAAUGCGUAGAGAUCGUAAGGAAGACCAGUGGCGAAGGCGGGUCUCUGGACAUUUCCUGACGCUGAGGCACGAAAGCCAGGGGAGCAAACGGG
rnacentral:rRNA from 1 species